AAUAAAGAUCUAAAGAAACAGAUUGAUAAAGGCAAAAGGAAAGCUUUUGAAAGCAAUUCUGUCAUCACUGAGCUUGAGAAGCAGAUUAUCAUUCUUAAGGAUAAGGUCAAUAAAGUUAAAACGAGGUAAAAAUGGUUUCUUAAGGCCUUUUUGGAGUCAAACUAAGUAUUAGUGAGAAUUUGGAGCAAAAUGAGGCUGAUUUGGAGCAAAAAGGAGGCUGAUGCUGAAAGCUGAAAAGUGAGAUCGAUC